UUAAUAUAAUGACAAAUAAAACACAAAGUUACCGUCAUACCUGUUUACUGUGUCAUGGUUAAUAUAUUAUUUUAUUCACCUAAAAAUUUCCAAAUUCCUUAUGUAUAAUUUAUAGUGUUACAAUUUUCUUUAUUCUUGCUUGUUAAUUUCACUGGACUUCAAUACUUUAUAGCGGACUGGAGUACUUGAAUAGGUACUUAUAGAGAGCCUUUAUUAUAAAGGCUCUCUUGGUACCUAUAAAACAUUCUGUGCGGAGUGCUUUUAAGUUUUGACGCCAUCUAUGGAUCACUAGGUACCUUGCCUUUUUCUUAUAUUGAUUGACAACUACAUUGUGAUCAGAAGUAUAUGUGGAUCAUUAUCUGUUGUCUUAAUUUGAAAAAUCAAUUGUUAACAAUAUUUUAAACUAUGAAUUCGUCAUCAUGUGUUGAAUAACUUUGAACACCAUAAUGAGUUGUCUUAAACCAAAUUUUUCGAUGCUGUUAAAGUUAUUAAUAUUGGUGACAUCCAUGUAUUGGUUAACAUGAGUAGAUAUACAAAGAAGGCACAAACAGAAAUAUUUGGUUUGAGACCAUCUCCAAUUCAAGUUUCAUGGAUUGGUUAUCUUAGUACCAACAGUAUUCUGUAAUUGACAAUUUUAUUCGUCCACAUUUUCCACGGCCAUUGAUCUGCAUAUAAAGUCAGUAACUACAUAACAUAAUAGAUUUUGGAUAUUUAUUGUUUAUCAUAACUCAAUUGCGUUUGUUGAUUAUAUUGUUUGU